rnacentral:lncRNA from 1 species
GUCUGUUUUUUUCAUACUAUAAGCAAUGGUCAACUUUGGUAUAUGGAAUGAUUGUAUAUGGCUGUCUGGUUUUCCUAGUUAAAUUUGUUUCUUAGAUACUAUAUGCAAUAAAUCAAAAGCAUGUAAUGAUUGUAAGGAGUACAUAUCUGUCUGACAGGGUUCAUCUGACCCUGGCAUUAUUUUCAUGGUUCGUUGAUCAAUCUUAA